rnacentral:rRNA from 1 species
UACAGAGGGCUCAAGCGUUGUUCGGAUUCAUUGGGCGUAAAGGGUGCGUAGGCGGCGCGGUAAGUCGGGGGUGAAAUCUUGGAGCUUAACUCCGAAACUGCAUUCGAUACUGCCGUGCUUGAGGACUGGAGAGGAGACUGGAAUUUACGGUGUAGCGGUGAAAUGCGUAGAUAUCGUAAGGAAGACCAGUGGCGAAGGCGGCUUCCUGGCCUGUAACUGACGCUGAGGAGCGAAAGCGUGGGGAGCGAACAGG